UAAGUAAAAGGGUGCCAAGUGAAGAUGAAGGCAAGCGGGUAGAGAAUCUGAUUAGAGGGAUAUUUGCUGGAAACAUUUUUGAUCUUGGUUCUGCACAGCAUUCCCUUUCAAUAAUAUUGCCAACAGCUUCUAUAGUGCAGACCUUUGAAGGAAAAGUUUAGUUAAUCAAUAUGAAGACACAUCAUCAUUACAUGUGCAGUGCAAGGUCAUUUAUCUCAAUGGACCUCAAAGAUGCAACAUAUACUUCUCUGAGAAGAUUUUUAAUUCCCUUGAAGAUGCAGACCAGCUACUACAGAUAACUGAGUUGAUCAUUGCUAAAUAAUGGGAGGGAGCUUUCAGGAAAAGAAGCAGAGAUUGGGCGGGAGUUUUCAGGAAGAUUUUGAUCAUCUCUGGGAGCUACGCUUGGGUUUGUUUUGGAGGAAGUGCGUGCCCAGAUUUUGAUCGAGUUUGGGAGACAGGUUUUAGGAGCAAAAGAGAUUAUGGAGCAUCUAGAAUAACAGCUUAACACGAACAAGCAAUCUUGAAUUGGCAGAAUUGCACAACCACUUCCCAGACAAGGAUCACCGGUUGAUGCCAAUCUUCAUCACUUCACUACACUUGAACUCGCUAAAUUGACUGGAGAUUUUUUCUGCUACGCUGGUGUAUUAGAGAGGACCAUUUGUGCAUUACUGUUCAACUGAUCUUAACACCGAUGGUGGCUGAUUUUAAAUUACCAAGCAACUUGCAGCGCAUGGACCAACUGUAAUACUUAUAUUUAGCAAUCAAGAUGUGCAACAUGAAGCCACUAAGAUCAUACAAGAAAGAAGUCUCAAUCUGCUUUUUCAUUAGCUGGAUAUGUUGAAGCUAACAUCCAUCAAAGAUCUUACUAGAUUUGAACUUACAGGUUGCUGUGGAGAAAUUUGGGUAACGUGCGAAUAAGUUCAAAUCAAACCAAAUCUACAAAUUUCAACAAAAACAGUUAGUGUUCAAUUUUUUGCUACUUGAUUUGCAUAAAAAUUCUACUAUAUAAUGUUAUGAAGCACUAAGCAAUUUGCUUA